rnacentral:rRNA from 1 species
CCUACGGGCGGCUGCAGUGGGGGAUAUUGGACAAUGGGGGAAACCCUGAUCCAGCGACGCCGCGUGAGUGAAGAAGUAUUUCGGUAUGUAAAGCUCUAUCAGCAGGGAAGAAAGAAAUGACGGUACCUGAGUAAGAAGCCCAGGCUAACUACGUGCCAGCAGCCGCGGUAAUACGUAGGGGGCAAGCGUUAUCCGGAAUUACUGGGUGUAAAGGGUGCGUAGACGGUAAUGCAAGUCUGGGGUGAAAGGCGGGGGCCCACCCCCCGGACUGCUGUGGAAAGUGGGUAACUGGAGUGCAGGAGAGGCAGGCGGAAUUCCUAGUGUAGCGGUGAAAUGCGUAGAUAUUAGGAGGAACACCAGUGGCGAAGGCGGCCUGCUGGACUGUAACUGACGUUGAGGCACGAAAGCGUGGGGAGCAAACAGGAUUAGAUACCCUAGUAGUC